CGGCGGACGGGUGAGUAAUGCCUAGGAAUCUGCCUGGUAGUGGGGGACAACGUUUCGAAAGGAACGCUAAUACCGCAUACGUCCUACGGGAGAAAGUGGGGGAUCUUCGGACCUCACGCUAUCAGAUGAGCCUAGGUCGGAUUAGCUAGUUGGUGGGGUAACGGGUCACCAAGGCGAUGAUCCGUAACUGGUCUGAGAGGAUGAUCAGUCACACUGGAACUGAGACACGGUCCAG
rnacentral:rRNA from 1 species